GUAGUCUGGUUUCUAUUCCAAUCGUACAAAUCUGUUGCCUUUUAUUAUAGAUUUACGGGGAAAAUAACAUUUUAUUUGAGUUUAAACUUUUUUUUUUUUAUGUCCUGCAUAAGAGGGGCU